AGGAUUCCCCUAGUAACUGCGAGUGAAGCGGGAAAAGCUCAAAUUUGAAAUCUGGCGGUCUUUGGCCCGUCCGAGUUGUAACCUGGAGGAGCGCUUUCCGCGCCGGACCGUGUACAAGUCUCCUGGAACGGAGCGUCAUAGAGGGUGAGAAUCCCGUCCAUGACACGGACGCCCGGUGCUUUGUGAUUGCGCCCCCGAAGAGUCGCGUUGUUUGGGAAUGCAGCGCAAAAUGGGUGGUAAAUUCCAUCUAAAGCUAAAUAUUGGCGAGAGACCGAUAGCGAACAAGUACCGUGAGGGAAAGAUGAAAAGCACUUUGGAAAGAGAGUUAAACAGUACGUGAAAUUGUUGAAAGGGAAACGCUUGAAGUCAGUCGCGUCGCACGGAACUCAGCCUGGCCUUGGCCUGGUGUACUUUCCGUGCGACGGGUCAACAUCAAUUUCGGGCGGCGGACAAGGGCGAGGGGAAUGUAGCGUCGCUUCGGCGGCGUGUUAUAGCCCCUUGUCGUAUACGCCGUGCGGGAUUGAGGACCGCAGCGCGCCCUUGUGGCCGGGGUUCGCCCACGUCACGCGCUUAGGAUGUUGGCAUAAUGGCUUUAAGCGACCCGUCUUGAAACACGGACCAAGGAGUCUAACAUGCUUGCGAGUGUUCGGGUGGAAAACCCUUGCGCGGAAUGAAAGUGAAAGUUGGGAGCCUCCGCGAGGGGGUGCACCGACGCCCGGCCCUGAAGUUCUCUGACGGUGCUGCGGUAGAGCAGGUGUGUUGGGACCCGAAAGAUGGUGAACUAUGCCUGAAUAGGGCGAAGCCAGAGGAAACUCUGGUGGAGGCUCGUAGCGAUUCUGACGUG
rnacentral:rRNA from 1 species